rnacentral:rRNA from 1 species
AUUGAACGCUGGCGGCAUGCCUUACACAUGCAAGUCGAACGGUAACAGGUCUUCGGAUGCUGACGAGUGGCGAACGGGUGAGUAAUACAUCGGAACGUGCCUAGUAGUGGGGGAUAACUACUCGAAAGAGUGGCUAAUACCGCAUGAGAUCUACGGAUGAAAGCAGGGGAUCGCAAGACCUUGUGCUACUAGAGCGGCCGAUGGCAGUUUUGGUAGUUGGUGGGAUAAAAGCUUACCAAGCCGACGAACUGUAGCUGGUCUGAGAGGACGAUCGGCCACACUGGGACUGAGAAACGGCCCAGACUCCAACGGGAGGCAGCAGUGGUGAAUUUUGGACAAUGGGCGCAAGCCUGAUCCAGCAAUGCCGCGUGCAGGAUGAAGGCCUUCGGGUUGUAAACUGCUUUUGUACGGAACGAAAAGCCCUGGGUUAAUACCCUGGGGUCAUGACGGUACCGUAAGAAUAAGCACCGGCUAACUACGUGCCAGCCGCCGCAGUAACAC